UACAGAGGGGGCAAGCGUUGUUCGGAAUUACUGGGCGUAAAGAGCUCGUAGGCGGCUUGGCAAGUCGGGUGUGAAACCUCCAGGCCCAACCUGGAGACGCCACUCGAUACUGCCAUGGCUAGAGUCCGGUAGGGGACCACGGAAUUCCUGGUGUAGCGGUGAAAUGCGCAGAUAUCAGGAGGAACACCGGUGGCGAAGGCGGUGGUCUGGGCCGGCACUGACGCUGAGGAGCGAAAGCGUGGGUAGCAAACAGG
rnacentral:rRNA from 1 species